UUUUCACACACAACACAAAAAAGAGGAGGGGCAUGGAGGGAGAUAUUAUCCUGUUAUCGGAGCGGCAGCCUUGGUGGUGUACCCAGGAAUCUUUGCUGUGUUUUUCAAUAUGAUGAAACCGCAUCAAAGAAACUGUCGCCUGCAGAUAGGAAUUACGGUGUCGGGGAUCGGAAGCUCCGGGUGAUGAAGUUGGCAUUAUAGGAGUGGAGACACUGGCUGGACGGCGCCAAUGAACCAUUCGUCAUUCUCACAGACCAUCGGAACCUGGAGUACAUAUGGACAGCAAGGAGACUGAAUCCGCACCAAGCAAGGUCACUUAGGCACUCUUCUAGCAGGUGUUCCGGCACUAUAGCCUUCCGGAGGACAUCGUCUCCGACUGUGGCCCCGAAUUCACAUCACAAGUAUGGAGGGUCUUUAUGGAGAAGCUCGGGGUCACGGUCAGCCUCACUUCCGGUACCGGCCUCAGUCAAACGGGCAGGUGGAGAGGAUGAACCAGGAGCUGGGGAGGUUCCUGAGGAGUCAAUGUCAGGACCGGCAGGGUGAGUGGAGACGAUUCCCUCCAUGGGCAGAGUACACCCAGGACUCACUACCUCACUCCUCCACUGGGUUGACCCCCUUCCAGUGUGUUUUGGGUUUUCAGCUGGCCCUGGCUCUGUGGACUCAAGACCAGACCGAAACUCCUGCAGUUGUUGGGGGGUUCCGGCGCGCAGAAGAACUGUGGAGCGACGCUCACGUAAGUCUGCAGCACGCCGUCCAGCUUUAAAAGGAACAGGCAGACCACCACCGCAGUGAGACCCCUGUGUUUCAUCCUGGGGAUUGCGUCUGGCUUUCUACCAGGAACCUCCCACUCCGCCUGCUCUGCAGAGAAACUGAGCCCCCGGUUUGUGGGGCCGUUCAAGGUUCUCUGGAGGGUCAACGAGGUGACGUAUAGAUUAUAGCUUCCCAGUCACUAUCGCAUCUCACCCGCUUUUCCUGUCUCUCCUCAGGCCGGUGGUUCCUGGUCCCCUAGCUGAUGCUGUCCCCCACGACAUCCCCUCACUCCCCCUGGACAUCGAGGGGAGUCAGGCGUAUGCUGUCAGAUCCUUACUGGACUCCCGGCGUCAUGGGGGUCGGCUCCAGUACCUGGUGGACUGGGAGGGGUACGGCCCAGACGAGCGGUGUUAGGUUUCGGUUGAGGACAUUCUGGAUCCCAACAUCAUCCAUGAUUUCCACCUUCGCCACCCGGACCACGUCAG